GCCCCUGGGAUUCAAAAAGAGGUCAGCCUGCCCAGUGACAUAGUUUAACGGCCGCGGUAUCCUAACCGUGCGAAGGUAGCAUAAUCACUUGUUCUCUAAAUAAGGACUAGUAUCAACGGCAUCACGAGGGCUAUACUGUCUCCUCUCUCCAAUCAGUGAAACUGAUCUUCCCGUGAAGAAGCGGGAAUUUUAAUAUAAGACGAGAAGACCCCAUGGAGCUUUAAGCAUCGUAUUCACCAUUUCUCUUAUACAUCAACUCAAUUAAAAAGAUCUGAGUACUAGCUUUUGGUUGGGGGGACCGCGGAGUAAAACCCAACCUCCGCAACAAAUGGGCAACGCCCUUAUCUAAGAGAUACAACUCUAAGAAUCAAUAAACUGAUGCCCUUUGACCCGAUAAGUCGAUCAACGAACCAAGUUACCCUGGGGAUAACAGCGCAAUCUACUUCAAGAGCUCAUAUCGACAAGUAGGUUUACGACCUCGAUGUUGGAUCAGGGUACCCCAGUGGUGCAGCCGCUACUAACGGUUCGUUUGUUCAACGAUUAAAACCCUACGUGAUCUGAGUUCCAAACCGGA
rnacentral:rRNA from 1 species